UGUUUAUUUUUUCACUUUUUGUAAUUAAUGUUCAAAUUUGUCACACAAAUAUUAAUGGUAAACAACAAAUUAACCGAAUAGCUAUGGAACCACAGCACAGUCAUCACAAACCACUUAAAUUUCUCACUGCAAUAAAGAAAGAAAGUGUAAAGGAGAAAAUAUUCCGGUUUAUUUCAAUUUUUUUUAUUUUAUUAUUUCCUAUUCUACUUUUGCUUUGUUUUAAGGUUGUAAAACAAUAUCAAAGGGCUGUUAUACUAAGGUUUGGAAAACUGAGACCAAAUUGCCCAGCUGGACCUGGCGUCAUUUGGCUGGUGCCCUGCACCGACACCGUAGUUCUUGUGGACCUCAGGACCCACUCGUUUAACUUACCCCCACAAGAGAUCCUAACGAAAGACUCAGUAACCGUAAGCGUUGAUGGGGUUACUUAUUUCCAUGUGAAUAACCCACUACAUUGUUUUCUUAACGUUGAAUCCUAUAAACCGGCGACUGAAUUGAUUGCUAUAGCCGAGUUAAGAAAUGUAUUGGGUCAGUUCACAUUAUCUGAACUGCUGACCAACAGAGAAGCAAUCAGCCGCUUAGCAAGAAAAGAAAUAGACAAAGUCACAUUGGAAUGGGGAGUAGAAACAGAAAGGGUUGAAAUAAAAAAUGUCGUAUUACCAGUAGAGUUACAAAAAGCGAUGGCAGCAGAGGCAGAAGGCACUCGAUUGGCGAAAGCCAAAAUUAUCGAAGCGGAAGGAGAAAUUAAAGCAGCUGAAAAUCUCCAAGAAGCCUCCAAAAUUAUGGCUAAUAAUCCACAAACUAUGCUUCUAAGAUACUUGCAGACUUUGAAUUUCAUCGCAUCGCAACAACAAACUACUAUAUUUUUCCCAUUUCCUUUGGAAAUCCCUCAAGUUUCGGGAAUUCAACCACACAAAGACCGAGGUUGUCCAAAAGACUACAUCUCUUGAUCGAUGUUUUCAGGUGAAACCAAGUGUAUUGAGAAAUUCCUGGUAAUACUUUCUUUCGUCAUUGCUAUUGUUACAUUUCCUCUUUCUUUGCUGUUUAUAUAUGUGGAAAUCCACACAGUUCCUGGCCGCGACAACACUGAGGAAUGCUAUCGGAGCAACAAAACUAUCUGAUCUGCUGAACAACCGCCCC